CAGUAGCGUAUAUUAAAGUUGCUGCAGUUAAAAAGCUCGUAGUUGGAUUUCGGGUGGGAAUGGCCGGUCCGCCGUUUCGGUGUGCACUUGCUACGCCCACCUUGCUGCCGGGGACGUGCUCUUGAGUUCACGCUCGGGACACGGAGUCGGCGAGGUUACUUUGAGUAAAUUAGAGUGUUCAAAGCAGGCCUACGCUCUGAAUACAUUAGCAUGGAAUAACACGAUAGGACUCUGGCCUAUCUUGUUGGUCUGUAGGACCGGAGUAAUGAUUAAGAGGGACAGUCGGGGGCAUUCGUAUUUCAUUGUCAGAGGUGAAAUUCUUGGAUUUAUGAAAGACGAACUACUGCGAAAGCAUUUGCCAAGGAUGUUUUCAUUAA
rnacentral:rRNA from 1 species